AGCUGUUAGUACUUUUUGUCUUGCUGCUGAUGCUCCUGGCUGGGGGGAUCAUUGGACUAGGCAUGUUCAUGAACUUUGUGUGUGCCUCUUCACCGGCAAAUAUCCAGACCGUCAAUAUCACAGGGAAUGAUUAUAUAUACACAGUCUUCCCAGUGCAACAAAACGGGCACUACAUCAUCUAUGGCAAAGUGCAGAAGCAGAAGAAUGAGAUCAGGACAUGCAUCGAUGAUGACUUGAGAUUAUGCCGGGAC